GAUGAACGCUGGCGGCGUGCCUAAUACAUGCAAGUCGAGCGAACAGACGAGGAGCUUGCUCCUCUGACGUUAGCGGCGGACGGGUGAGUAACACGUGGAUAACCUACCUAUAAGACUGGGAUAACUUCGGGAAACCGGAGCUAAUACCGGAUAAUAUAUUGAACCGCAUGGUUCAAUAGUGAAAGACGGUUUUGCUGUCACUUAUAGAUUGAUCCGCGCCGCAUUAGCUAGUUGGUAAGGUAACGGCUUACCAAGGCAACGAUGCGUAGCCGACCUGAGAGGGUGAUCGGCCACACUGGAACUGAGACACGGUCCAGACUCCGACGGGAGGCAGCAGUAGGGAAUCUUCCGCAAUGGGCGAAAGCCUGACGGAGCAACGCCGCGUGAGUGAUGAAGGUCUUCGGAUCGUAAAACUCUGUUAUUAGGGAAGAACAAAUGUGUAAGUACCUAUGCACGUCUUGACGGUACCUAAUCAGAAAGCCACGGCUAACUACGUG
rnacentral:rRNA from 1 species